UGGGCAGAUAGCAUUUUCAAUAAUGAAGAG
rnacentral:piRNA from 1 species